GACGAACGCUGGCGGCGUGCUUAACACAUGCCAGUCGAACGGAAAGGCCCUGCUUUUGUGGGGUGCUCGAGUGGCGAACGGGUGAGUAACACGUGAGUAACCUGCCCUUGACUUUGGGAUAACUUCAGGAAACUGGGGCUAAUACCGGAUAGGAGCUCCUGCUGCAUGGUGGGGGUUGGAAAGUUUCGGCGGUUGGGGAUGGACUCGCGGCUUAUCAGCUUGUUGGUGGGGUAGUGGCUUACCAAGGCUUUGACGGGUAGCCGGCCUGAGAGGGUGACCGGCCACAAUGGGACUGAGGUACGGAGCAGACUCCUACGGGAGGCAGCGGUGGGGAAUAUUGCACAGUGGGCGGAAGCCUGAUGCAGCAACGCCGCGUGCGGGAUGACGGCCUUCGGGUUGUAAACCGCUUUCGCCUGUGACGAAGCGUGAGUGACGGUAAUGGGUAAAGAAGCACCGGCUAACUACGUG
rnacentral:rRNA from 1 species